UACGGAGGGGGCAAGCGUUGUUCGGAAUUACUGGGCGUAAAGGGCGCGCAGGCGGCUGCUCAAGUCAGGCGUGAAAGGCCUGGGCUCAACCCGGGAAUUGCGCUUGAGACUGGGCUGGCUUGAGUGCGGGAGAGGAUGGUGGAAUUCCCAGUGUAGAGGUGAAAUUCGUAGAUAUUGGGAAGAACACCAGUGGCGAAGGCGGCGACCUGGGCCAAUACUGACGCUGAGGUGCGAAAGCGUGGGGAGCAAACAGG
rnacentral:rRNA from 1 species